rnacentral:rRNA from 1 species
GCCUAACACAUGCAAGUUGAGCGAUUUACUUCGGUAAAGAGAGGCGGACGGGUGAGUAACGCGUGGGUAACCUACCCUGUACACACGGAUAACAUACCGAAAGGUAUGCUAAUACGGGAUAAUAUAUUUGAGAGGCAUCUCUUAAAUAUCAAAGGUGAGCCAGUACAGGAUGGACCCGCGUCUGAUUAGCUAGUUGGUAAGGUAACGGCUUACCAAGGCGACGAUCAGUAGCCGACCUG